AGGGAUUUAGCUCAGUGGUAUGGCACCUGCCUCGUAAGCAUAAGGUCCUGAGUUCGAUCCUCAGUACCACAA
rnacentral:tRNA from 1 species